UACGUAGGGUGCGAGCGUUGUCCGGAAUUAUUGGGCGUAAAGGGCUCGUAGGCGGUUUGUCGCGUCGGGAGUGAAAUCCACUGGCUUAACUGGUGGCUUGCUUUCGAUACGGGCAGGCUAGAGUUCGGUAGGGGAGACUGGAAUUCCUGGUGUAGCGGUGAAAUGCGCAGAUAUCAGGAGGAACACCGGUGGCGAAGGCGGGUCUCUGGGACGUGACUGACGCUGAGACGCGAAAGCGUGGGGAGCAAACAGG
rnacentral:rRNA from 1 species